rnacentral:rRNA from 1 species
CAGCCGCCACGGUAAUACAGAGGAUGCAAGCGUUGUCCGGAAUUAUUGGGCGUAAAGCGCGCGCAGGCGGAUCAGUCAGUCUGUCUUAAAAGUUCGGGGCUUAACCCCGUGAUGGGAUGGAAACUGCUGAUCUAGAGUAUCGGAGAGGAAAGUGGAAUUCCUAGUGUAGCGGUGAAAUGCGUAGAUAUUAGGAAGAACACCAGUGGCGAAGGCGACUUUCUGGCUUGUAACUGACGCUGAGGCUCGAAAGCGUGGGGAGCAAACAGGAUUAGAUACCCCAGUAGUCCCUGUCUCUUAUACA